rnacentral:rRNA from 1 species
GAGUUUGAUCCUGGCUCAGAUUGAACGCUGGCGGUAUGCUUAACACAUGCAAGUCGAACGGUAGCAGGCCUUCGGGCGCUGACGAGUGGCGGACGGGUGAGUAACGCGUAGGAAUCUGCCUCAUAGUGGGGGACAACGUGGGGAAACUCACGCUAAUACCGCAUACGCCCUACGGGGGAAAGCGGGGGCUCGUAAGACCUCGCGCUAUGAGAUGAGCCUGCGUUAGAUUAGCUAGUUGGUAGGGUAAAGGCCUACCAAGGCGACGAUCUAUAGCUGGUCUGAGAGGACGAUCAGCCACACUGGGACUGAGACACGGCCCAGACUCCUACGGGAGGCAGCAGUGGGGAAUAUUGGACAAUGGGCGCAAGCCUGAUCCAGCAAUACCGCGUGUGUGAAGAAGGCCCUAGGGUUGUAAAGCACUUUCAAUGGGGAGGAAAACCUGCCGGUCAAUACCCGGUAGCUUGACAUUACCUUUAGAAGAAGCACCGGCUAACUCCGUGCCAGCAGCCGCGGUAAUACGGAGGGUGCGAGCGUUAAUCGGAAUUACUGGGCGUAAAGCGUGCGUAGGCGGUUCGUUAAGUCAGAUGUGAAAGCCCCGGGCUCAACCUGGGAACUGCAUUUGAAACUGGCGAACUAGAGUUGAGU